rnacentral:rRNA from 1 species
UGGGGAAUAUUGCACAAUGGGCGCAAGCCUGAUGCAGCAACGCCGCGUGAGGGACGACGGCCUUCGGGUUGUAAACCUCUUUUAGUAGGGAAGAAGCGAAAGUGACGGUACCUGCAGAAAAAGCACCGGCUAACUACGUGCCAGCAGCCGCGGUAAUACGUAGGGUGCGAGCGUUGUCCGGAAUUAUUGGGCGUAAAGAGCUCGUAGGCGGUCUGUCGCGUCUGCUGUGAAAACCCGAGGCUCAACCUCGGGCCUGCAGUGGGUACGGGCAGACUAGAGUGCGGUAGGGGAGAAUGGAAUUCCUGGUGUAGCGGUGGAAUGCGCAGAUAUCAGGAGGAACACCGAUGGCGAAGGCAGUUCUCUGGGCCGUAACUGACGCUGAGGAGCGAAAGCGUGGGGAGCGAACAGGAUUAGAUACCCUGGUAGUCCACGCCGUAAAACGUUGGGCGCUAGAUGUGGGGCACCAUUCCACGGUUUCCGUGUCGCAGCUAACGCAUUAAGCGCCCCGCCUGGGGCAGUACGGCCGCAAGGCUAAAA